GCAGAUACCAGAGACUCCUUUUGCUCUACAUGAUUCUUGACCCCUUCAAGAGAUUUGUCUUCAGAAGCAACAACAGGGUAUUUAGCGGCUAGACCAGAACCCACAGCAUUGUUAGGGUCCUCGGAACUUCCUUUUUCUGGAAGAAGGGCAGAAUGAUUGUUUUCAACAGGCAGGUUUUCAAAAGGAGGUUCAGAAUCAAGUGAUUCCAUAAAUUCAGUUAAGGAAACAAUAGGAGGAAGAAGUUCAGCAUUCUUGAAUUCUUCUACAACCAUCCCCUGCAACAAAUCAGCCCCAUCAGCUGGAAUUACCAAGCUGUCUUUCACAUCUUGCUUUUCUGAGUAAUUACGUUGGCUGGUAAGAUUUUCUUUACUUCCUAACUCAUCCUUACCAGAAGGGCCAGAAUUUCUCCCCCUAUCUUUCUUCGGCAUAAACUGCGUGACAUUUGAACCUGCAGAUAUCUCAGAUGCAAUAUUAUUAUCAUCCCGCUCAAAAUCAACCUGAUAUUCACCCUUGUGAGUUUUUUUGACCAAACGUCUCAUGUCAAUUGCAUUAUCAGGUAAAACAACCAUCUGAGCAAGUUCCUCGGCUUUUGCCACCCGCCACUCAGAUAGCUCUUUUGAAGCAAGUUCUUCAGCAGUCAUUGAACAUAACUUAUCCGGAGGUAUCUCACCUGACAUCACUCUCUCUCUCAGUUCAGGAUUACUGCGAUCUUUUAGGUUGAAGAGAAGAGACCUGCCCCUCUCUUUAUAUUUUUUGUUCACACCUCCAAACAAUUUAAAAAGUUCCGCCUCAAUGUGCAAAGCUAAAUCUUCGGGAGAUGAUUUUGCAUGCUCACCUUUAUCUUCAACCACAUCCUCAUCAAACAAAUUGGCCUUUUCAGCAUCCUGGAGGAAAUCAGUUUCUCUUAAAUGCAUAUCUAGAUCCAUUGCCCAAGUGAGACCAUUCCCUUGCAAGAGUUCAUCUUUGACAAAGAAAUUGUCACUGAAGGGAACAUCGUCCACAUGCAACUCAAAUUCUGUAGAGCAAGGUACAGAAUUUCCCAUGCUCACAUCAUCAUGAAGCCCAAGAGACAAACUAUGACCGUCAUUAUUUGUAUCAACAGGAAAAGGACCAAUUGAAGGAAGUACAUCACCAGAGUUUUGAGGAACGUGUGAAACAGAGCUUUGGGGUAGACCUUCAUUGGCAGUUGUCGUAGUUACAUCCAGUUGUGAAGGCUGAGAACCCACUGCUUCACCCAGAUCCUUGGCAGCUGGAUUCUGGCAAGCCAUAGCCAGAGCUGAAGCAAGUGAUUCUCUCAUUUUGGACCUAAUGGCAUCAGAGGACUCAGACUGCGCCUUGGAGGUCGGCUCAACUUGAAUUGAGCGUCCUCUUGGAGUCUGUGACCGCUGGGAGGCAGUUCUAUUGGAUAUGGAUUCAUUUCGGGUCAAUUUCUUGGUUGACGCAGGAACACUAGUUGAACCUCCCAAAGUUAACUUUGACUGUUGCGGUCCAGGUUUCUUAAUAGCAGAAGAUUGCUGCACAAAACCUGGAGACGCAGACAAAAACGUUCCCUGUGCAGUCCGCUUAUUUGGCAUUGAUGACACCUGAGGUGUAGAACCAUGCGGCAUUGAUGACAUCUCAGCCUUGCGCUUGGUGAGUACUGAUGAUUUCUGCACACCUGGACUAUUUGGCACAUAUCUAUCUCCUCUAGUCUGCUGAUGUGACAACAUGAAGUGCUGAGAGUUCAUUCUGGGUCCCAUUGGCCCCAACUGAUUCACAGGAACUGAAGUAUCAAAUCUGUUGGCUGUAGGCUCAUUUGACCAAACAAGCUGCUGUGAAGUUGGCACGUGUCCAAUGAUACUGGUCUGCAUAUGUGCUAUAGAGUCCGGAUUAUUGGAAACGUGAUCCAUUUGAAUGAGCUGACCAUCAGGUGGUCCUGAAAAUUGCUGAGAAACAAGAUCACUGGACAUGACAAAAAAACACAGUGUGUGGACGGAGGGCCUCAAAUCAGCAAGAAAACGGAGUAAAACAGCUAGAAACACCAAAAACUGAGCUGCCCACAUACAUUCUGGAUAGAGACGAAGAGGAAGAGAGAAUUGGGAGCUGAGCUGAGGCUAAGC
rnacentral:misc_RNA from 1 species